rnacentral:lncRNA from 1 species
UGCUCUGAAUCAAUGAUGGAAGGUAGGAGCCAUGUUAACUUCGACUGCUAUUACCUUGAUCUGCAUUAGAAAAAGAUGCAAAAGUGUAGUAUGAGUACCAAAAAUCAUGGGUACUCAGUAGGCAUCAUCGGUCGACUGAGCUUAAUACAGAAAAGGUAUCACUAUAAUGCGAGGGCAUAAUCUGAGUCAUUAGUAGAUAGGGAUGGAAAGGUAAAUAACUACCAAGCUAUGCAAUGGCUGUAAAGGAAUAAACUUAUGCGAUACCAAAAAAUAAAUAAUGCAGUAAUAAUAGAUAAAUCAAACAUAACCUAAAUGGGCCCCCAUAAGCCCACUAGGCACACAAAAUAACUUAACUGAGCCCCCAUAAGCCCGCUAGGAACACUGAAGAAGACAAUUAACCCAACCGUACCCCUAUAAACCGGUGGGACACCCAAGUAACAAAAAUAAACAUAAUAAUCUAAAACUGCGGUGAUCCCAAUAAAUCAUUAUAGUCAUCCAGAUAUGCACCGGACUUGAACCGGCAUUCAUAAUACCCAUAGUAAUCAAAUGCCGGACUCGAACUGGAACUCAUAGUAACUAUAAUAGUCAAUUGUCAGACUCGAAUCGGAACUCAUAGUAAUCAUAAUAAUCAUUUGCCGGACUCGAACCAGAACUCAUAGUAACCAUAAUAAUCAUUUGCUGGACUCAAACCGGAACUCAUAGUAACCAUAAUAAUCAUUUGCCAGACUCGAACCGAAACUCAUAGUGACCAUAAUAAUCAUUUGUCGAACUCGAACCGGAACUCAUAGUAACCAUAAUAAUCAUUUGUCGGACUCGAACCAGAACUCAUAGUAACCAUAAUCACCGGAAAUAAUAAAAUUCAUACCAUAUUAUAAUAUUGUCAAUGUCUAAAUAAUCAUCCAUUAAUCUUAAUUAAGAAGGAAUAAAUUCAAGGUUAUAUGUCUAUAUUAUCUCUGGUACUCAUACUACACUUCUGUACCUUUUUGGUGCAAUCCCAGGUUCUAGUUGCCUCCGUUGAGCUAGUUCGUACGAGUUGACCAUUCGGAGACAGGGUGAGUUCUUGGGGAUCGAUUUGCAAUCUAUCCCUUCUAUCCUUAUUUGUCUUUUGCUUUCGAGACAAAUGGAUGAGACUGUUUAAGGAAUUUUAGAUUCUGAGAUUGUAAAGUCAUCUUGUUAUGAUUAGAAGCUCCUGUAUUAAUACUACCAGGUCGUGGGAUUUGUGUUUGAAUAUUGAUUGUCCUUAGUUGUGAAAUGUUGUUGUUAUAUGUUGUGUUCACAUAUAGGGUCCAAGUUGGACGUUCUUACCAAGGUAACCCAUUGCAAUAGCUCCGGGUUAUGGUAUCAACUUACCUACUGGUGGGAUGUGAUAGGUUCCAUCAUGAUUCGAAAAUCGGGUUAUGACACUAAACUGUGAUAGGAAUAGAGAUUUUUAUGAUUGUUCGAAAUGCCUCAACCCUGGGCUUUACUCCAUUGAUUGUCUAAGAUUUUAUUUUAUGAUUAGUUUAGAUUAGUUUUAACUUUCAAAAUUACAACUUUAUUUGCUACUCUCCUCAAUUAGUUAAACUAGAAUAGGAUAGACGGCGAAUGCAAGUCCCUGAGAGAUCGAUACUUGGGCUUCCUUAAAGUCACUAUAUUACUUGAUAAGACCACGUACACUUUCGUGUGUGCUUGGGCGCUGUCAAGUUUUUGGCGCCGUUGCCGGGGACUUGUAACUAGGCAACUAUCUUAUUUUUAGUUUAGCUAUAUUGAGUUGUAAAUAAUUUUUGUUUAGUUUCUUUUUAUUUUCUUUUAUUUUCCUUUUUAUCACACUUCUUGACAUGGCAGUUUGGGAUAGAUGGUUUUAAGUGAUGACGAUUCUUGUUAUUUUUGUGGAGGACCACAUCAUGAAGCUUAUUGUUCAGAUUUUGAUGGAAGUGCGUGGACGGGACCUUCACAAUAUAAUUCAGAAAAUUCGAGAAAGUCUGAGUACUCAAAAACUGAUAUUAUGGAAAUUAUGAUGGAGCCAUUGCCACCAUGUCUACAGUGGCUAAGCAAGGAAAUAUAUUAGGAGGGUAUUAGCCAAUAUGUGGAGCAAACACAAGAAUCACAACCAGUCGAUUAUCAUCCUGAUCUUGAGACUAAAAUUGAGAAGGUGAAUAAAAGUGAGUGUGUAGAGGAUAGUGUAAAUUAUGAAGUAGGAUUUGUUGGUCCGCACUCCAAGAACUUUUCUAAAUUAUGUUUAGAUGAUAUCUUGUCUGUGAAAUCAUUUAAAAUAGUAGAAGAGUGUGAAGAUAAGGAACACGAAUCGUAUAUUCUUGAUUUUACAUCUGAUAAGAAAUAUAAAAACACACCUCACUUCAAGGCCGAGUGGUUUAUUAUGCAUCAUCCAUUGCUCGAUUCAUUAAUCUCUGUACCACCUUCAUAUGAUCGAGGCAAAAAAAUAGAUGCAAUGUUGGGGGUGAAAUUCAUAUCCUCAAGGUGGAGGAUAAAGUUGAUUGGGCCAUGCCGCGACACUAAAUUUGGCGCUUCUUGGGAGGCAACCCAAGAUAAGUAGGUUUUAUUUUUAGUUUUUAUUUUUUAUUUCACAUAGUUUUUUGUUUUUGGUUGAGUCACAAGUUGAUGGGAAGUGUGAGUACCGUGAGCUUGAGUUUGAAGCAUGGCAAAGAUUAUAUGUGGGGUUCCAUGGAUCUCAUUCAUGUGAAGAUUCUACUAGCUAGGCCUAGAGGCCUCAGGGAGUUUUUCUAUCUAUUACCUUUAAAUUCACUUUGGGGACAAAAUAGAGUUUUAAGUGUGGGGUGGGGAAAUUCCAAAAAUUUGACUCAAUUUAGAAAAAAAUUUAGGUUAGGAAUAAGUGAGAUAUUCUUGUUGGUUCUAUUUUUGAUUACAUGAUACAAGUGGGUUUGUUGAAAAAAGCAUGUUGAUUGAGUGAAUUACUAUUUUUAAGACUCUUAGGAUCAUGUUUUGUGACUCUAGUAGUUUUGGCUUAAUUUUGAAUUCAUGCCAUUGUUUGGUUGGGAGUCUAUGAUGAUCCUAUUGAGUUGAGCAUGUGCCAUGUGCGUGUAAGAUUUUUUGUAUAUUCCUUGUUGCAUGUGAUGUCUAGAACUUGCCAUGUGUGUGUGUGGAGAAAAAUAAAGAAUGUGGGUUUAGGAGAUGAUAUAGACAUUUUUUUGAUAGCCUUAUUUUAUACCGUAUGUUUUACCUACCUUUGUGCAUUAUCCUAGUUAAACCCCAUUGAGCUUUUAGCUUUUUAUUUGGUAACCUCAUAUGUAGCAUAAUCCCUUCUUUGAUAGACCAUAAUUUGAUCCAAAAAGCUCCUAAGUACUUUAAUUGACAAAAAAUUAAAUUUGAAAAAGGAGUUUGAGAAAUUGAAGAUGAAAAAGGUGAAAUUGAUGCCCCAAGGUAAUAGUUAUUGGUGUAUAAUUGAUGUGUGAAGGAUGGUUGUGAUAUAAUUUAUGCUAAAAAUAUUUCCAUGGUUGUGAUGUAGUUAUUGGGUUUGUUGAAAAAAGCAUGUUGAUUGAGUGAAUUACUAUUUUUGAGACUCUUAGGCUCAAGUUUUGUAAUUCUAGUAUUUGUUGGCUUAAUUUUGAAUUCAUGCUAUUGUUUGGUUGGGAGUCUAUGAUGAUCCUAUUGAGUUGAGCAUGUGCCAUGUGCGUGUAAGAUUUUUUGUAUAUUCCUUGUUGCAUGUGAUGUCUAGAACUUACCCCGUGUGUGUGUGAAGCGAAAUAAAUAAUGUGGAUUUAGGAGAUGAUAUAGGCAUUUCUUUGAUAGCCUUAUUUUAUACCGUAUGUUUUACCUAUCCUUGUGUAUUAUCCUAGUUAAACCCCAUUGAUCCUUUAGCUUUUUCUUUGGUAACCUCAUAUGUAGUGUAAUCCCUUCUUUAAUAGACCAUAAUUUGAUCCAAAAAGCUCUUAAGUGCUUUAAUUAAAAAAAAAUUGAAUUUGAGAAAGGAGUUUGAGAAAUUAAAGAAGAAAAAGGUGAAAUUGAUGCCCCAAGGUAAUAAUUAUUGGUGUAUAAUUUAUGUGUGGUGGAUGGUUGUGAUAUAAUUUAUGCUAAAAAUAUUUCCAUGGUUGUGAUAUAGUUAUUGGGUUUGUUGAAAAAAGCAUGUUGAUUGAGUGAAUUACUAUUUUUGAAACUCUUAGGUUCAUGUUUUGUGACUCUAGUAUUUGUUGGCUUAAUUUUGAAUUCAUACUAUUGUUUGGUUGGGAGUCUAUGAUGAUCCUAUUGAGUUGAUGUGCCAUGUGCGUGUAAGGUUUUUUGUAUAUUCCUUGUUACAUGUGAUGUCUAGAACUUGCCCCGUGUGUGUGUGAAGCAAAAUAAAGAAUGUGGGUUUAGGAGAUGAUAUAGGCAUUUCUUUAAUAGCCUUAUUUUAUACCGUAUGUUUUACCUACCCUUGUGCACUAUUCUAGUUAAACCCCAUUGAGCCUUUAGCUUUUUCUUUGGUAAUCUCAUAUGUAGCGUAAUCCCUUCUUUGAUAGACCAUAAUUUGAUCCAAAAAGCUCCUAAGUGCUUUAAUUGAAAAAAAAAUUAAAUUUGAGAAAGGAGUUUGGAAAAUUGAAGAAGAAAAAGGUGAAAUUGAUGCCCCAAGGUAAUAGUUAUUGGUGUAUAAUUUAUGUGUGGUGGAUGGUUGUGAUAUAAUUUAUGCUUAAAAUAUUGUCAUGAUUGUAAAAAAAGAGAAAAAUUGAUUCUUGUGGUAGUAAACUAUGUGUCCACCAAGUAUUGGUGAAAAUGCUUAAAAAAGAUGGGGAAAAAAUAAAAGAAAUGGGUAGACAAAAGUGGUGUAAUUUGGUUGUUGGAGAUUGGUUUUAAAUGUAUAAUGUAGUGUAUUAAAGCGCUUAGAGAGGUUAGUCACUAUUCUUGGCCAAAAUAGUUCCUACCCGUCCCUUAGCCUACAUUUCAACCCGAAAAAGUCCUAAAUGAUCCUAAGUUCAUCAUUCCGAUAUUAGUGGAGAAUUACACUAACGGAAAGACUAUGGUUCAUUAUGUGUAACUUGUGAAUUCUUUGUGAGAGUGAGCGUAAUUUGAUUCUUGUACCCAUUACGUUAUAAAUUGCAUUAUUGUGAGAGAUUAUGGGUAACUCUCUUGUUGUGAGGGGUACAUAUUUGAUGAAUGUGGGUGAUUUGUAUGAUGUCCUUGAUUGAGCAAUAAGCAUGAGUUUUCCAACUAGGUGAGCCAAUUUUUGAGUCUAGGAUGUUUUGGAAUAGUGUUCAUGAGCUUUCAAUUGUGUAUAACAUGCUUAGUGUUUUAAACUUGCAUUCGUGUAGUCAUUGUAGUGAUAGCUUAAGUGUCUUGGAUGUAGUAUAAGUGUGGAGUCUCUUCAGCUUAUGGUGUUUAUAGUUAAUAUUUGUUCGAGGACGAAGAAGGCUUUAAGUGUGGGGUGGUGAUGUUGGGUGAAUUUAUGCAUUCUAGCGCUACUAUUCUAGCUUAUUUAGCCUUAUUUUCAGGAUUAUUAUUAUGAUAUAUGUGUUAAUAAUGAUAUAAAUGAGCAAUUAUGUGUCCAAGUAUGUGUUCACAAUGUUUAAUGGUGUUUCCACACAAGUUUUGAUUCAAUUCGACCAUUAAGACUUUAACCAAGAAAACUAGUGUGACUAGCUUGAGCUAGUUGUUGUCUAGUCUCUUGUGUUGGGUUCUAAUGUGUAUUAAUGAGUUACCAAGGUUGUUAUUAUGUAUUUAUAUGUGAAACAACUUAUUUAUAAUGUUCAAGGGUCAAUUGGAUCAAACCAAUGGUCAAAACAAUGAGUUAAAGCUUAAUGAAAAAUUAGCCUAUGCUUAGCUUGUGUUUCUAGUUCAUCAUUGAGGAUGUUGUGUUGUUUUGAGCUCUAAAUUAUUGUGUUUAAUUCUAUAGGAUGCUUGGUGAAUGGAAUAUGAUGAUAUAUGAAAUAUAUAAAAGCUUCAAAUCAAGUGGAAACAACUCAAGAAGGCUCGAAAUGCUUAACAAAAGCACAAGACGCAAAUUGGAUGCAAUUUGGAGGACUUCAAAACAUAACUGGAUUCAGAAGAAGCCCAAGUUUUUGAAAAUAUGGCGCGUGUAGCUUAAUUUUGAGUUCAAGGAGGCCCCGCGACGUGUUGAAAUCGCAAACAGCUACUGAAAUUUGACAGAUUUUUUGACAAUUGUGAAUUUGCAUGUCUCUGCGUCGCGCCUAUGCCCAAAAUCGGGAUAAUUCUGCCCAUCUGAAGUAAAAUAGCGUGGAAACUCAAUCCAAGUCAGUUUAUGACUUGUAUACUAUAAAUAUAAGGUCUCAAACUCCAUUUUAAUCAUCUUGGGACCUCUUGAAAACCCUAGAUCAACUUGGAACAUCAUUGGAGGAUACCACAACUUCUUUUUAGGUUUUAUCAUUCUUUAAUUUAAUAUUUUUUUGGUUUGUAUCAUCAUUCCAAGGGAUCAGAUGAUGAAUAUUUUCAUUAAAGGCUAAAACCCUCUUUCCGGGGUUGAGGCCAAGAACAUGAAUACUUUUUAAUAUUAUUUAUUGUAGUUUAAUUUUGGAUUAUCAUUUGGGUUGUUCUUAAUUUUUUGAGCCUACUAUUUUAAUGAUUAGCUACCAUUAGAAUAAAUCUAUAUUUUUAUGUAAAUUCGGGAGGAGAAUCAUAAGAUAGAAUGAAGAAAUUAGGGAACAAGGUUCUUGUUCUUUUAUGAAAUAAGGAAUUUGAAUUAGCCUCUAGGAUAGGGAUAUAACUAGAAGCCUUGUUUGAUUCAAUUGCAAGAAGAUAACUUCAUAGAUUUGGAUGAAUUUUUGUAUCUCUGAGGGAGUUGUAGGUACAAUUUUCACUAGAUAGAAGAUUUGAGGUCGGGAGACUAAAAUCGUAGCAUAAAACUUGCGAAUCAACAAUUCGAUAACCAACUAAACUGUGAUAGGAAUAGAGAUUUGUAUGAUUGUUCGACAUGUCUCAACCCUAGGAUUUACUCCAUUGAUUGUCUAAGAUUUUAUUUUAUGCAUUAGUUUAGAUUAGUUUUAACUUUCAAAAUUACAACUUUAUUUGCUAUUCUCCUCAAUUAGUUAAACUAGAAUAAGAUAGACGGUGAACGCAAGUCCCUGAGAGAUCGAUACUUGGGUUUCUUUGAAGCCACUAUAUUACUUGAUAAGACCACAUACACUUUUGUAUGUGCUUGGGCGCUGUCAUCAAGUAGCCUUCGCGGAGCGACCUUGAGCCUGGGUUAACUAGCCCUCGCGGCACGGCCCUAUCACGACCCCUUUCUGUUUUGGACAUCCAAACUCACCCCUAUGCUAGUUUGAAAAAUCUGAAACUCGCCUGAGAUGACCUACAAGUGACCCUGAUCAUGAAUCAACUUGAAAAUCAACAUACUAAGGUCGGAAAGAUAAAAAAUAAGAUCAUCCAAUUUCAAAUGCUAAAAAUGAUUCUAAGUCUUAACACUUAGCUGAAAUUUUCUAAGUUUGGGACCUUUUUUGGCAUGCUAUAUAAGACUGAAAUGACUAGGAUUUUGUGGGGUCUUACACCUUAAGAGGAAGGGCAGGGUCUAUAUUGGAGGUGCUGGUGACCUCAGGCAACAAUUGCUCUCCACAUUCCAUGAUUUUUCUAUAGGUGGUCACUCAAGCUAAUUAGGCACCUAUAAAAUAUUAUCACAAGCCUUUUACUAUUUGAACAUGAAAUAGAUGGUAGUGGAUUAUCUUACCAGUUCUGAUAUAUGUCUUAGAAGCAAAGAUGAUAAUGCAGCCUACCCUAGUCUUCUACAACCCUUUCCUAUUCCUAACAAAGCCUGGAGUCAUAACAACAUGGUUUUCAUUGAAGGAUUCCUAAGUCUAAAGAUAAAGAGGCAAUUUUAGUAAUUAUGUACAGAAUGACAAAGUAUGCACACUUUAUUAUACUUUCACAUCCUUAUACUAUUGUUGAUAUUGCUGAGAUAUUCCUAAAAAGAAUUCAUAGCCUCAAUGGAACUCCUGAAUCUAUAGUCACUAGCAGGGAUAAGUUUUUCCUCAUAACUUUUGGCAGACAUUGUUUAAACUUUUGGGCACACAACUAUAUUAUAGCACUGGAUACCACCCCUAAAGUAAUGGGCAAAUUGAGAGAGUGAAUAAAUGUGUGGAGAAUUUUCUCAGAUGUAUGAUAUCUAAUAGACCUCUUAAUUGAGAACACUGGCUAUCUGCUGCAGAAUGGUGGUACAACACUAACUUCCACAAUAACCUACAAUCACAUCCUUUAAAGCCUUAUAUAGUUACUCACCCUCUCACUUGUCUAUGAGGACACUAUUGGAAAUAAUGCCCCAGUUGUUAAGGAAUCAGUAUUAAAAAGGCAACAAAUAUACUAUCUCUUAAAGGAUAACUUGACUAAAGAUCAAGAGAGAAUGAAGUAUUAUGAUGAUAAGAAAAGAUCUGAAAGAGAGUUCCAGGUAGGUGAUCUUGUGUACUUAAAAUUGCAACUUUAUCGGAAAUCCUUAAUUGCUUUGAGAAAAAAAUUGAAGUAAUCUUCCAAAUAUUAUGGUCUCUUUAAGUUUAUUGCCAAAGUUGGCAUGGUGGAUUAUAAACUAGAAUUGUCUGCAGCAUCUAGAGUACAACCUAUUUUCAUGUUUCUUUGUUGAAAAAAAAGGUUGGUGAUCAUGUGGUGGUGCAAUCUGCUUUACCUAAAACUAAUGAAGAUGGCUAGUUUUUAGUGAAACUAGUCGCUAUACUUCAAAGGAAGAUAGUCAACCAGAAUAUACAACUGUGGUUAACGUGUUGGUGCAAUGGUUUAACCCCCAUCCUGAAGAUGAGACCUGAGAGGACUACCAGUUCCUCAAAUGUCAAUGUCCCAACUUUAAUUCUUAUCCUCGAGGACAAAUAUGGUUUUGAGAGGUAGGGUAUGUAAGGAACCUAUUAGUCUUAAAUAGUUAACAGAAAUAAAAGGAUAGGAGACAACUCAGGUUUGAAAUUGAAUUGCGGAGAAAAAGAGUAAUAAAGUCAUUUUAAAUCAAAUAAUUGAGAUUCAAACUUUCUUAACAAGCUUAGACAAUCAGGAUGUUGCCACAUCAGCUGAUUUGGUAAUAUAACCAACUUAGGAGAGAGAAAAUACCAACAAAAAUCUAGUAUUUCCUAACCUUCCUUGCAUUUCUCUUCUCUCUUAUUCCUCUUCUUCUAAAUCUUUAGUUUUAUCUUCUCUUCUACUGUAGAUUCAAGGAUGACCAUGGAAGACAUUCUUGAUAAAGAGGGGGGGGGGGGGCUAAGGACUCGAGGGCAUGUGUAUGCGCCUUGUGUGGGAAACUUGAUUCCUACCAUUCUUGUUGAGGCCCACAAUUUGAAGUACUCUAUACAUCCAGGUGCAACCAAAAUGUAUAAAUACUUGAGGCAACAUUAUUGGUGGACCAGAAUAAAGCGGGACAUUGUGGAUUUUAUAACCAAGUUUCAAAAUGGUUAACAGGUCAAAUAUUUGCAUAAAAAACUUGGUGAUACUUUACAGAGGAUGCCC